rnacentral:rRNA from 1 species
UACGAAGGGGGCGAGCGUUGUUCGGAAUUACUGGGCGUAAAGGGCGCGUAGGCGGCUCUGGAAGUCAGGCGUGAAAGCCCCGGGCUCAACCUGGGAAUUGCGCUUGAUACUCCGGGGCUCGAGUUCGGGAGAGGAGAGUGGAAUUCCCAGUGUAGAGGUGAAAUUCGUAGAUAUUGGGAAGAACACCGGUGGCGAAGGCGGCUCUCUGGACCGAGACUGACGCUGAGGCGCGAAAGCGUGGGGAGCAAACAGG